rnacentral:rRNA from 1 species
GGACCAUCAUGUCGGUCGUGCCUCGGUACGUACUAAUUUAUUGGUUUCUUCCUUCUGACGAACCAUGAUGUCAUUAAUUUGGUAUCUUGGGGAAUCAGGACUGUUACUUUGAAAAAAUUAGAGUGUUUAAAGCAGGCUCACGCUUGAAUACAUUAGCAUGGAAUAAUGAAAUAGGACGUUUGAUUCUAUUUUAUUGGUUUCUAGGAUCGCCGUA